ACACCUCAACUCUUCAUGGUUUUCUGUGAUGAGCUUGGACUUUGGGGGUUUUGCUGGCCUAUGGCCGGCUCCUCUAAAAUGAAUCAGCUUUCCAGUGUUUGGUGGCGUCACAGGUGUGAUAAACAUCUACGCUUGUGGCUUUCCGCCAGGUAACCUUCAGCAAUGGAGGUUCACUGGAGCUCAUAAACGUCUCUCCUCAGUGAGGACAGAUUUUGACC
rnacentral:misc_RNA from 1 species